AGCGAACGCUGGCGGCAGGCUUAACACAUGCAAGUCGAGCGGGCCCUUCGGGGUCAGCGGCGGACGGGUGAGUAACGCGUGGGAACGUGCCUUCUGGUUCGGAAUAACCCUGGGAAACUAGGGCUAAUACCGGAUACGCCCUUUUGGGGAAAGGUUUACUGCCGGAAGAUCGGCCCGCGUCUGAUUAGCUAGUUGGUGGGGUAACGGCCUACCAAGGCGACGAUCAGUAGCUGGUCUGAGAGGAUGAUCAGCCAAACUGGGACUGAGACACGGCCCAGACUCCUACGGGAGGCAGCAGUGGGGAAUAUUGGACAAUGGGCGCAAGCCUGAUCCAGCCAUGCCGCGUGAGUGAUGAAGGCCUUAGGGUUGUAAAGCUCUUUUAUCCGGGACGAUAAUGACGGUACCGGAGGAAUAAGCCCCGGCUAACUUCGUGCCAGCCGCCGCCGUAACAC
rnacentral:rRNA from 1 species